GAAGACUAUUUAGUCUAUGGCCACAGUUCUGACAGAAGAAGGUCAAAAAGACAAAUGAGUCUGAUAGCACCAUUCAGACUGGAGAAGGUCAAGAAGACCAUUAAGUCUAUGGGCACAGUUCUGACUGGACAAGGUUGAGAAGAUCACCAAGUCUGUGGGCAUCAUUCAGAAUUGAGAAGGUCAAGAAGACCAUCUGCUGAUGGCAUUUUUCUGCUCGUUUGUUUUGUUCAUAUUGAUGUGCACAAG